CAUGAGUAACGCAUGCGGGGCUGUGAGGCCUCUUGGGACACAGGGAGAGCACGGACUCCCUCAGAAUCUGUGUGUGGGCCGAGUGGGCUCAGUGGUAUGGACUUCCCUCCCCAACACCUAAUAAGAUAUACUGAAGCCAACCACGUAGGUUUGAAUUAAGAGGGCUAAUGUGAUUCCAAGCCCUGGAGACCCUGGAACAAAGGAAGGGAGAAGGAGUUCGAGGAGGGGCAGG